AAAUCUCACCAGAGUAACAAUUGGAGGGCAAGUCUGGUGCCAGCAGCCGCGGUAAUUCCAGCUCCAAUAGCGUAUAUUAAACUUGUUGCAGUUAAAAAGCUCGUAGUUGAAUUUCUGCGUUGCCCGACUCGGCUACUUGCCUUGUCUGGUUUCGCUUUUGGGGUUUUCCCCUUUUUACUUUGAGAAAAUUAGAGUGUUUCAAGCAGACUUGUGUCUUGAAUACUUCAGCAUGGAAUAAUAAAGUAGGACUUUGGUUCUAUUUUGUUGGUUUGUGAACCUUAGUAAUGGUUAAUAGGAACGGUUGGGGGCAUUCGUAUUUAACUGUCAGAGGUGAAAUUCUUAGAUUUGUUAAAGACGAACUACUGCGAAAGCAUUUGCCAAGGACGUUUUCAUUAAUCAAGAACGAAAGUUAGGGGAUCGAAGACGAUCAG
rnacentral:rRNA from 1 species